UCCGCAAUGGGGGCAACCCUGACGGAGUCAACGCCGCGUGGGGGACGGAAUGUACUGUGGAUUGUAAACCCCUUUUCUCAGGGAAGAAGUUCUGACGGUACCUGAGGAAUCAGCAUCGGCUAACUCCGUGCCAGCAGCCGCGGUAAGACGGAGGAUGCAAGCGUUAUCCGGAAUUAUUGGGCGUAAAGCGUCCGUAGGCGGUUUAUCAAGUCUGUCGUUAAAGACUGCAGCUUAACUGUGGGCGAGCGGUGGAAACUGAUUAACUAGAGUGUGGUAGGGGUAGAGGGAAUUCCCAGUGUAGCGGUGAAAUGCGUAGAUAUUGGGAAGAACACCAGUGGCGAAGGCGCUCUACUGGGCCACAACUGACGCUGAGGGACGAAAGCUAGGGGAGCGAAAGGGAUUAGAUACCCCUGUAGU
rnacentral:rRNA from 1 species